CUAUAGAGAGCAAACAAGUAACAACUAAAAACAAAAAAUAUCAGACUCGUCGAAAAAUUCGAAAUUAAAAAAAUGUUUGUAAAAGUUUUAUUUUAUAUCCAUUCAUAUAGAAUGGAAACACCAAAAUUCACACGUCUAUUGCGAUAUUGAAUUGCGAGCCACGAGCAGAGCACCACUGUGGACGACCACCACUUUCCUGUCCCCAACUUGUUUCCCGAGCGUAGUACCAUGCCCGGGAUGAAGCCAACACUUGGCUGUAGCUCCAAUUCAAAACUUUCUUCUUGUUUCUUCAGCAGUUCUAUCAUCAGCUCACGUCUGAUCCGCAAGUUGUUGAUUAUUAUCCUGCUUCCUACUGAACUCCUCCUGCUGCUCCUUGUUAUGCCAAUACAGACGUGCCCGCGCCACCAAGACAACUUCAACGCGAACUUGAACAAGGCAGGUGAUGCAAAAACUGGCCACAUCAUUUCAAAGCAGUUCUAUCAUCAGCUCACGUCUGAUCCGCAAGUUGUUGAUUAUUAUCCUGAUUCCUACUGAACUCCUCCUGCUGCUCCUUGUUAUGCCAAUACAGACGUGCCCGCGCCACCACGACAACUUCAACGCGAACUUGAACAAGGCAGGUGAUGCAAAAACUGGCCACAUCAUUUCAAAGGUGAGAAAAUAUCGUGGAACAUCUGACGCGGGGUUUUCGCUACCCGAUUGCUUGCAUGUGAGGCUCGGGGUUUUCUGGAAUGCAGCAUACAGCACACAGAUGUAGCCAAGGAUAUACAGUCGGAAUUCGCUCAAUUCGCCUCUCUCACCUGUCUGUGUACAGCUCCACGUCGAAGUACUCAGUGCGUCUGUAUUUCUCGAUGGCAUUAAAAUAGCAAUUCACACACCAGGAGGUGAAGCCCAAGGAACCCAAAGGAACAAUGCAUUCACGCGAUAAGACAUAUUUGUUCCAAACAUUUGUUGUUUUAUGUACACGUGUUAGAAUUUUGAUUCAAGUGGAAAUUG